UUGAACCUAGUACAAAACUUCCUAAUUGAAUCAAUCUAAUCAAAAUAUUGUAACCUAUAAAUAACCUAAAUCUAAAACAGAAAGGAGACGAAAAAAAACCUAGAAGCGGAUUCUUCUGCAAUUUCCAAACCAUCCAUCAAAGCUCUAAUUCAAACAAAGAUUAGGGUUUCUCAUUGAAACCCUAAUUCUUAUGAGCUAGCCACAGUUCAAUAGCAUCUCGCAUAAAACGAAAAAGAAGCAGUCAAAAAAGAGAAGGAGAAGAAAAGGCUAAAACGUAAAGAGACAGAAAAAAGGAUCAUUUACCUCGAUUGACUGGAAUACUUCUCCAUUCCAUAGGCUGGUCCCUGUUUUGGCUCCGUAGUAAACCUGACAUAUAUUGAAUUUGUAUGCUUGUUUGUUUGCAAUAAUUUUGUUUAUGGUUUGACUUUGGGGAUAAAUCGAAAAAGGGGUUUAGGGUUAGGGUAAUAAAUUAUUGAGUUGAUUUUGGGAUUUAGAGGUUUGAUUGGGGUUUAGGGAAGGCCGAUCUAUGGAUUGGCCACUGUUUAAUGUGAAUCUGGGUGAGGGAAGGUGAAAUCUGGAAAAUGGUAGUGUUAGGGUUCAUAAUAUUAGGGUUAGGGUUCGUGGGGAUGUGAGGGUUUCUGGGCUAGGUUGAAGGUUUUGGAGAUGAUGUGUUUGAAUGUUUGAAUUUUUCGGUUGAAGUUCAACCGGAAAAUUGAAGAAUGCGGUGGUUUAGAUGGUAGGGGUGAAGAACAUAGAGCAACCAAAGGAAGAAGUAGUUGGGAGAACGAGAGAUAGAUAGGAGCGAAGAGAGAGAAAAAAAGGAAAGAAAUAAACAAGUGUGAAGGGGAUUGUCUUAUAUACGUCACACCUAUGUGGCCUCCCCUUACCCAAUUGUGA
rnacentral:lncRNA from 1 species